rnacentral:rRNA from 1 species
UACGUAGGGGGCUAGCGUUGUCCGGAUUUAUUGGGCGUAAAGAGCGUGUAGGCGGCCAUGUAGGUCCGGUGUGAAAACUCGAGGCUUAACCUCGAGAUGUCAUCGGAAACCAUUUGGCUAGAGUCCGGAAGAGGAGAGUGGAAUUCCUGGUGUAGCGGUGAAAUGCGCAGAUAUCAGGAAGAACACCAAUGGCGAAAGCAGCUCUCUGGGACGGUACUGACGCUGAGACGCGAAAGCGUGGGGAGCGAACCGG